AUUCCACAAAAGUAAUUUUCAGUUCCUUGUUAUGCCAAUACCAUUUGGAAUUUUCAGGUAUGUGAUAACGUUUGAUCUUAUAACCAAUACCCAUCAAUCUGUAGUCCAGAAUAUCUGUCAGGGACUUCACGAUAUUCUUCUGGAGGCAAAUUGUUUCUCAUACAAUGACAUGUGCGUGGAUAGUGUGUUAGACCUGCCUAUAGGGCAGUGAUGAUCUUUCCAGCUCAUUGGCUGUUUUUUCCAUGUGUCCUGUGCCAGACACCUCUGCAGUCUGUCCUUUUUCUGGUGAGAUUUUCUUGCCAUCGGAUAGCUUGCAUAUAAGCCAUGAGCUAUCCAAUUCAGCCCAUUUAUUGCUAUGAAAAGCACUGCUAUCCCAAGAUGUUUGGAAUAGACAACCGUGCACAAUUAUUCCUAAGUUCUGUAAUGGCUUUGCUCACUUCUUCAUUUGAGCUUAAUGCCAUCAACCAGGAGAGUAAGCAUGUCCCAUCCCCUUUCACCAUGGGACUCCUUUGGGCAUUGUAGGUCAAAACCAAAUAGGUUUUUGUUUUUUGUUUUCCCUCCACCGAACCCGGGCUUUUUGUAAGGGAUAGAUGUGAGGCAAGGCCAGUCCCAGGUCGGAGGUGUGGGGGUGGGGACUGUGCCCUUUCCCCUGGUUGCUGGUGGUGUAUCCCUUAAUGUGUGUUUGGAGCCCGAACCCCAAUUGCAGAGUGUGGCAAAAGCAAGGGCUCCAGCUGAAGGGAGGGGUGGAGGAAGGAGGUGUGUGGAAGAGCUGCGCAGGCCCAGAGUAAAAGGCAGGCCAGGAGGCUUGGAGCGCAGGCGCUCAGGGGCAGGCAGGUGGCACGCAGGCGCAGUAGGGGCAGGCAGGUGGCACGUGGCGGAGGGGGAGGGGAGCGGAAAGUUCCCGCCUUUUCUGUCAGAGCCUCCCUGUGUCGCUGUGCCUAGCAUUAAGGUCCGCCAAGGCAAAAGACUGGAAGUUGCAUGUGGACUGUGUGAGGUUUUCUCCCUCCCCUUGCCUUCCUUCCUGCUUUCUUCCCUCCCUGGUGAAAUGAAGGUCCCCUCAUGA
ensembl:lncRNA